rnacentral:rRNA from 1 species
AGUGGCGGACGGGUGAGUAACGCGUGAGUAACCUGCCUUUCAGAGGGGAAUAACGUUCUGAAAAGAACGCUAAUACCGCAUAACGUACAGUUACCGCAUGGUAGCAGUACCAAAGGAGCAAUCCGCUGAAAGAUGGACGUCGCGUCCGAUUAGCUAGUUGGUGGGGUAAAGGCCUACCAAGGCGACGAUCGGUAGCCGGACUGAGAGGUUGAACGGCCACAUUGGGACUGAGACACGGCCCAG